GGCGGCGUGCCUAACACAUGCAAGUCGAGCGAGGAGAUCCUUCGGGAUGAUCCUAGCGGCGGACGGGUGAGUAACACGUGGGCAACCUGCCUCAUAGAGAGGAAUAGCCUUCCGAAAGGGAGAUUAAUACCUCAUAACAUUGCAGUUUCGCAUGGAACAGCAAUUAAAGGAGUAAUCCGCUAUGAGAUGGGCCCGCGGCGCAUUAGCUAGUUGGUGAGGUAACGGCUCACCAAGGCGACGAUGCGUAGCCGACCUGAGAGGGUGAUCGGCCACAUUGGGACUGAGACACGGCCCAGACUCCUACGGGAGGCAGCAGUGGGGAAUAUUGCACAAUGGGGGAAACCCUGAUGCCAGCAACGCCGCGUGAGUGAUGACGGCCUUCGGGUUGUAAAGCUCUGUCUUCAGGGACGAUAAUGACGGUACCUGAGGAGGAAGCCACGGCUAACUACGUGCCAGCCGCCGC
rnacentral:rRNA from 1 species